CCUCUCUCUCUAUCUCUUUAGCGACCUACAGCCGCAACCUCUUCCGGCGCAGCAGACAAGGGAAAUCGGUGACCCAGGGAGUCCGGCAUUGUAGCCAAGAAACCGUGUACCGCCCUUGUAGAUCCUCCCAUUUUCGCUAUUUCCUCUCCCUUUGGACGAAGAGCAGCAGCAGCCACAAUAUGGGGGUGGCCGGCGACAUGCUCCGGCGAUCGAUGGCGAGGCAGACCAGCAAAGCAGGCGGUGGCUUCCUCCCCUAUUUUCCGGCGAGCAAAGCUUAGCGGUGGCCUCCUCCCUUCCAACCAGCAAACAACAAGCAGACCAGGCCGUGCCUCUCUCGACAGUUCAACGUUGGCAGUUCGGCGGCGGCGGACUUGUUUUCCCCUUCUCCGACAGCGACGGACGACAGUGAAGCUUGGAAUGAGACACAGACGACGCCAAUCGCACCAUCAUGACCACCAAGCCCCGUCACAACCGGCAGCGCACUCACCACGACCACCACCAGCCCCCGUCACAGCCGGCGACCUUCUCCGGUUCAACAGCGUCAGCAGCCCCAUUGACGUGAACCACCAGCCAGGCAGCCACUAGUUAAUUUUUUUUCUUGGAAUUUAUUAAUUUUUUAUUAUCAUCCCAGAGUCGUCGCUUCUAACAUCGCACUCAUCCUCGUCUUCUUUGGUCGUUCGAAUGGCUAAGAGAGAAGAGGAAUUGAAGGAAAUCAGAGCGAAAACUACUGAGGAAAUCAACGAGGAGAUAUUGAACCUCAAGGGAGAGCCGUUAUUGCUUCACCUCCAGAUGUCUGUCCGCAGUGAAUUCAAGUCCAGCGAGUUCGGCCGUAUGCCCGUAUGCGUAAACGUGUUGCUCGAAUGAUGACUGUUAAAUGGGAGAAAGAGCUAAUUGUGGUUCCAAAUAUAUUCUGUCAAUCUGGAUUAAGGCAUUUUCUUUUGUUCCUCUAACUGUUACCAUAAUUGUGUUGCUUCCUUGUAUUCUCUUGUUAAGUUACUCUCAAGUAUCUUCCCGUUCUUGUUUCUUAAACUAAUGAGUGUUCCAGUUCUUGAGCUGAGAAAUCUGUUUAUUGAUUUGUGUAGAAUCUAACUGUUUUGAUUUGCAUAUGAAUUGCUCCAUAAUCAGCUUUUGCAUUGCUGUUGUUACCACAGAAUAUUGUACUUACUGCUUUGAACUUUUUUUAAGUUUUUAUUUAUCUUUGUUUUGAUACAGUUUCUUUAUCUAUCACUUAUCUUCUUCAUCUAAUAAUUGUCUGUUAGGUUGAGGCCACAUGAGAGAAUGAGGUGAAGGUUUUGGGGGGUUAAAACAAGAAAUUUAUGACACUCUCUAUUUACCACUAUUUCCAUCUCCUUUGCCCAUAUUUAUUCACCAACUACUUUAUCUUUUUCUUGCUGGCUGGAUUGAUUGGAUUAUUUGUCUUUAGAUCUCUCUCACUAUGUCUCACUCUUUCUUUCGCUCCUGAUUUUUAAACAAAGCUUCUAACUUUUUUUUUUUUGCCUGCUCACAUCUAUGUAGAUACAUACACAUCAACUAGCUUUGUGGUGAUGAUAGCAGGUCUGAUGAUUCAUCAACCAAACCAGCAGUAAGCCUUUAAUAAUCAAGAAAACAUGUCAAAUGUCUAAUGCUCUAAUGUGAACGGCAGGAGCGUUUGAUGUAUAAUGUCGUUAGGAACCGGAUUCAGACGAGUUUCCGGUGGUGGGACUGGAUUGAUGAGAGCUUGAUUACAUUAAUGGAGGAAAUGGGACGCUUUUGCAUAAAUUUUGAAGAAAGUAUACUUCAAGGAAGGUUUCUUCCAUGUUGAUCGUUCAUUUGGGAAUUUGAUACGCACUCCAAAUGAAAAGCUAGAUCGAACAUUUUUGCUUUGGGGCUGUUUUUGUCUAAACUAAAAAUGUUUAUUUGUGUAGUUUCACCUUUCAAAAUAGCCAACAGAUACAUUACUAUGGCUAUUUGUUAGCUAUAAUUAGUUUUUUUUGCCUUUAGUCUUUAUAAAGUUGUGUGAAACAUUUCAUUUUGAUAGUGAUGAUGAAGUCUUUUAAUAUAUUGAUGAGUUUAUUUUGAUU